CUCGCGCCGGGCGCCGUCGGCGGUGGUCUCGUUGAGCUCGAGAUAGCCCGCGGGCAGGGUCCAGAAUCCCUGGCGCGGAU
rnacentral:tRNA from 1 species